rnacentral:rRNA from 1 species
UACAGAGGUCUCAAGCGUUGUUCGGAUUCAUUGGGCGUAAAGAGCUCGUAGGCGGCUGUUCAAGUCGAACGUGAAAACUCGGAGCUCAACUCCGAGCCUGCGUUCGAUACUGGACGGCUAGAGUCUGGUAGGGGGAUCUGGAAUUCCUGGUGUAGCGGUGGAAUGCGCAGAUAUCAGGAGGAACACCGGUGGCGAAGGCGGGAUCCUGGGCCAGUACUGACGCUGAGGAGCGAAAAGCGUGGGGAGCAACAGG